rnacentral:tRNA from 1 species
UAGUGCAGUGGAUUUAAUCUCCACAAAUAAAGUUUCACACUUUUUUUAGAAACAUU